rnacentral:rRNA from 1 species
GUGGACGCCAGUCUGCGUGGAGCCGACCUUGAAAUACCACCCUUUAAUGUUUGAUGUUCUAACGUGGACCCGUGAUCCGGGUUGCGGACAGUGUCUGGUGGGUAGUUUGACUGGGGCGGUCUCCUCCUAAAGAGUAACGGAGGAGCACGAAGGUUGGCUAAUCCUGGUCGGACAUCAGGAGGUUAGUGCAAUGGCAUAAGCCAGCUUGACUGCGAGCGUGACGGCGCGAGCAGGUGCGAAAGCAGGUCAUAGUGAUCCGGUGGUUCUGAAUGGAAGGGCCAUCGCUCAACGGAUAAAAGGUACUCCGGGGAUAACAGGCUGAUACCGCCCAAGAGUUCAUAUCGACGGCGGUGUUUGGCACCUCGAUGUCGGCUCAUCACAUCCUGGGGCUGAAGUAGGUCCCAAGGGUAUGGCUGUUCGCCAUUUAAAGUGGUACGCGAGCUGGGUUUAGAACGUCGUGAGACAGUUCGGUCCCUAUCUGCCGUGGGCGCUGGAGAACUGAGGGGGGCUGCUCCUAGUACGAGAGGACCGGAGUGGACGCAUCACUGGUGUUCGGGUUGUCAUGCCAAUGGCACUGCCCGGUAGCUAAAUGCGGAAGAGAUAAGUGCUGAAAGCAUCUAAGCACGAAACUUGCCCCGAGAUGAGUUCUCCCUGAGACUUAG